rnacentral:misc_RNA from 1 species
GAUGAAGAACGUAGCAAAAUGCGAUAAGUAAUGUGAAUUGCAGAAUUCAGUGAAUCAUCGAAUCUUUGAACGCACAUUGCGCCCGCCAGUAUUCUGGCGGGCAUGCCUGUUCGAGCGUCAUUUCAACCCUCAAGCACAGCUUGGUGUUGGGACUUGCGUUAAUUCGCGUUCCCCAAAUUGAUUGGCGGUCACGUCGAGCUUCCAUAGCGUAGUAGUAAAACCCUCGUUACUGGUAAUCGUCGCGGCCACGCCGUUAAACCCCAACUUCUGAAUGUUGACCUCGGAUCAGGUAGGAAUACCCGCUGAACUUAAGCAUAUCAAUAAGCGGAGGA